GAUGAACGCUAGCUACAGGCUUAACACAUGCAAGUCGAGGGGCAGCGGGUUGAAAGCUUGCUUUCAAUGCCGGCGACCGGCGCACGGGUGCGUAACGCGUAUCAAACCUGCCUCAUACUCGGGGAUAGCCUUGCGAAAGUAAGAUUAAUACCCGAUGUUGUUGCUUUCUCGCAUGGGAGAGUAACCAAAGAUUUAUCGGUAUGAGAUGGUGAUGCGUCCGAUUAGGUAGUAGGCGGGGUAACGGCCCACCUAGCCUUCGAUCGGUAGGGGUUCUGAGAGGAAGGUCCCCCACACUGGAACUGAGACACGGUCCAGACUCCUACGGGAGGCAGCAGUGAGGAAUAUUGGUCAAUGGGCGAGAGCCUGAACCAGCCAAGUAGCGUGCAGGAUGACGGCCCUCCGGGUUGUAAACUGCUUUUAGUUGGGAAUAAAAAAAGGGACUUGUCCCUUCUUGUAUGUACCUUCAGAAAAAGGACCGGCUAAUUCCGUGCCAGCAGCCGCGGUAAUACGGAAGGUCCAGGCGUUAUCCGGAUUUAUUGGGUUUAAAGGGAGCGUAGGCGGAUUGUUAAGUCAGCGGUUAAAGGGUGUGGCUCAGCCAUGCAUUGCCGUUGAAACUGGCGAUCUUGAGUGCAGGCAGGGAUGCCGGAAUUCGUGGUGUAGCGGUGAAAUGCUUAGAUAUCACGAAGAACUCCGAUCGCGAAGGCAGGUGUCCGGGCUGCAACUGACGCUGAGGCUCGAAAGUGUGGGUAUCAAAAAGG
rnacentral:rRNA from 1 species